rnacentral:lncRNA from 1 species
UUAUUACACUUAUUUAUGAAACAUAUUUCAUGACACUUGGAUUCGGCUCAAAAUCCUUCUUUUACUUAACAUCAAUGUAAUUUUCUUCAUUGCUAGAAACCGUGGGUUUUAGUUCAAAAUCUUUAAUGGCUCCUUUCUUUUCCUCUGCAUCUAUCCCAUGAUAAAGGAAAGGAUUAGGUCUUGGUUCAAAAUCUUUAAUGGCUCCUUUAUAAGAGAAAGCAUUAGGUCUUGGUUCAAAAUCUUUAAUUGCUCCUUUCUUUUCCUCUGCAUCUAUCCCAUGAUAAAGGAAAGCAUUAGGUCUUGGUUCAAAAUCUUUAAUGGCUCCUUUAUAAGAGAAAGCAUUAGGUCUUGGUUCAAAAUCUUUAAUGGUUCCUUUAUAAGUGAAAGCAUUAGGUCUUGGUUCAAAAUCUUUAAUGACUCCUUUCUUUUCCUCUGCAUCUAUCCCAUGAUAAACGAAACCAUUAGGUCUUGAUUCAAAAUCUUGAAUGGCUCCUUUAUAAGAGAAAGCAUUAGGUCUUGGUUCAAAAUCUUUAAUGGCUCCUUUAUAAGUGAAAGCAUUAGGUCUUGGUUCAAAAUCUUUAAUGACUCCUUUCUUUUCCUCUGC